UUGCAGUAUUCUAUGUAGCGUGGCGCGGCU
rnacentral:piRNA from 1 species